UACCGGUGUGAAAACUAAUAUGGUCUUUGGUGUUUGUGACUAGGAUUUCUUGCAACCCAGCCUUGUGCUUUCUGGACAGUGCCCAGGAAGGGCCCUUUGCAGACAGUUCGUCACUGUGGUGUAUAGAAUGGUGCCCCAUGGCUGCUGGGCACACAAGGCUAUUUCCCUCAGAUGUCCAUGGUGUUUUUGUGAUACUGUCUUGGGGUCAUCACUGGGUUCCUAUAAGCCUAACUGUUCUCGGUGCUAGCAAGGAAAAUAUCUUAAGCCUGGGACACUGGUGUAGCACAGGGCAGAAGCCACUGUGCUGUGUGCAGCGAAACCCUCCUUAUCUUUACUUUUGCACAGGAUCAAGUGUCUUCCCCACUUUGAACUGGCAUAUCCCACAAGCCCUUGCCAAGCCAGAGCCCACACUCUUCAGUGUCUGUCUUGUUCUAGAAAACAUGAGGCUUCAACCACCACACCACUGAGCAGAUCUCAGACACAGGGUAAUGCAGAGGUCAUACUCAUGUAUGUUACGUAUUGAGAAUGCUUAGAGAUUGUACACUUUGGGAAAAUAAGUUUGCAGUCACGAACCUGACAAGGUAGCAGCACAUGGAGGAGAGCUAUAAGAGUUAAGUAUGUAAAGCUGGGUACUUGAUCUGGAUAGAAAGCUUGCCUACAGUGUACAAGGCCUUGGCUCCAAAUCCCAGGACUGCAGCUCUCCCUGGAAUAGAUAAUCAGAAUUUUGAAGAUAAGUUUUAAAAAAAUAAAAUAACUUUCCCUGUGGACUGGAAUUCAGGCCUGUAGAUGGCAUGGCUUUAAGCCAGAGUAAUUUGGAAGUGUGGUGGAAGGAGGCCAAUGUGAGCCGCUGCCGUCUUAUUGGUCUUUCCGAAGUGCAGUUCCAGGAGAGAUGUGAGCUCUGCAUUCCCUGGUCUCUGUCCUUAGAAUGGAGAAAAUGGUGACUCAGAGCAUUGACCAUGUGCUUCAGAGCACCCCAGGGGCAGCAGGCACGGAGGUGACACCGUGAUGCCCCAGAUGCCCAGAGCU
rnacentral:lncRNA from 1 species